AUGCUACGUCAAAACCGCAAAAGAAAAACAGAUCAGGCAGUGGAUAGCGUGAAUAUAUCAGUUCUUACUGGAAGAGAGAAGAUGAUGAUUGGUGCCUCCAAUUCAAUUACUACUCCAAACUUCACGCCAAUCUCGCUACUCCAAAUUCAAUACUAUCAACACCACCACCCACUUUUUCUCUCUCCCUCUCUCCAUUGA